rnacentral:rRNA from 1 species
CUACGGGCGGCACCAGUGGGGAAUAUUGGACAAUGGGGGAAACCCUGAUCCAGCAAUGCCGCGUGUGUGAAGAAGGCCUGCGGGUUGUAAAGCACUUUCGGUUGGGAGGACUGCUUCUAGCACUAAUAUUGUUGGAAGUUGACGUUACCUUCAGAAGAAGCACCGGCUAACUCCGUGCCAGCAGCCGCGGUAAUACGGAGGGUGCAAGCGUUAAUCGGAAUUACUGGGCGUAAAGCGCGCGUAGGCGGCUAGAUCAGUCGGGUGUGAAAGCCCCGGGCUUAACCUGGGAACUGCAUCCGAUACUGUCUAGCUUGAGUAAAGGAGAGGAGAGUGGAAUUCCACAUGUAGCGGUGAAAUGCGUAGAUAUGUGGAGGAACACCAAUGGCGAAGGCAGCUCUCUGGCCUGAUACUGACGCUGAGGUGCGGAAGCGUGGGGAGCAAACAGGAUUAGAUACCCCGGUAGUC